rnacentral:rRNA from 1 species
GAUGAACGCUGGCGGCGUGCCUAAUACAUGCAAGUCGAGCGAACAGAUGAGGAGCUUGCUCCUCUGACGUUAGCGGCGGACGGGUGAGUAACACGUGGAUAACCUACCUAUAAGACUGGGAUAACUUCGGGAAACCGGGGCUAAUACCGGAUAAUAUAUUGAACCGCAUGGUUCAAUAGUGAAAGACGGUUUUGCUGUCACUUAUAGAUGGAUCCGCGCCGCAUUAGCUAGUUGGUAAGGUAACGGCUUACCAAGGCAACGAUGCGUAGCCGACCUGAGAGGGUGAUCGGCCACACUGGAACUGAGACACGGUCCAGACUCCUACGGGAGGCAGCAGUAGGGAAUCUUUCGCAAUGGACGAAAGCCUGACGGAGCAACGCCGCGUGAGUGAUGAAGGUCUUCGGAUCGUAAAACUCUGUUAUUAGGGAAGAACAAAUGUGUAAGUAACUAUGCACGUCUUGACGGUACCUAAUCAGAAAGCCACGGCUAACUACGUG